CUCGCCGUCGGUGAGGCCGGGCAGGAUCGGCGCCAUCAGCACGCCGACCCGCAUCCCGGCGUCGGUGAGGCGGCGGACCGUGUCCACCCGGCGGGCC
rnacentral:tRNA from 1 species